rnacentral:rRNA from 1 species
AAGUUGGGGGGGAGGUAACGGCUCCCCCAAGGGAAAGGUUUCCUUCCCCCCCUGGGGGGGGUUUUUCCCCCCCCCGGGGGAAUGGACCCCCGCCCCGAUUUCCUGGGGGGGGCCACCGUAGGUAUUUUUCGGCAAUGGAAGAAAUUUUUGACCGGAAAACCGCCGGUUGAAGGAAAAAAGUUUUUCGGAUUGUAAAACUUUGUUGUUAGAGAAGAACAGGGUUGAGAGUAAAAUGUUCAUCCCUUGACGGUAUCUAACCAGAAAGCCAGGGCUAAUUACGUGCCAGCAGCCGCGGUAAUACGUAGGUGGCAAGCGUUGUCCGGAUUUAUUGGGCGUAAAGCGAGCGCAGGCGGUUUUUUAAGUUUGAUGUGAAAGCCCCCGGCUCAACCGGGGAGGGUCAUUGGAAACUGGGAGACUUGAGUGCAGAAGAGGAGAGUGGAUUUCCAUGUGUAGCGGUGAAAUGCGUAGAUAUAUGGAGGAACACCAGUGGCGAGGGCGGCUCUCUGGUCUGUAACUGACGCUGAGGCUCGAAAGCGUGGGGAGCGAACAGGAUUAGAUACCCUGGUGGUCCACGCCGUAAACGAUGAGUGUUAAGUGUGGGAGGGUUUCCGCCUUUCAGUGCUGCAGCAAACGCAUUAAGCACUCCGCCUGGGGAGUACGACCGCAAGGUUGAAACUCAAAGGAAUUGACGGGGGCCCGCACAAGCGGUGGAGCAUGUGGUUUAAUUGGAAGCAACGCGAAGAACCUUACCAGGUCUUGACAUCCUUUGACCACUCUAGAGAUAGAGCUUCCCCUUGGGGGGCAAAGUGACAGGUGGUGCAUGGUGGUCGUCAGCUCGUGUCGUGAGAUGUUGGGUUAAGUCCCGCAACGAGCGCAACCCUUAUUGUUAGUUGCCAUCAUUUAGUUGGGCACUCUAGCGAGACUGCCGGUGACAAACCGGAGGAAGGUGGGGAUGACGUCAAAUCAUCAUGCCCCUUAUGACCUGGGCUACACACGUGCUACAAUGGGAAGUACAACGAGUUGCGAAGUCGCGAGGUUAAGCUAAUCUCUUAAAGCUUCUCUCAGUUCGGAUUGUAGGCUGCAACUGGCCUACAUGAAGCCGGAAUCGCUAGUAAUCGCGGAUCAGCACGCCGCGGUGAAUACGUUCCCGGGCCUUGUACACACCGCCCGUCACACCACGAGAGUUUGUAACACCCGAAGUCGGUGAGGUAACCUUUUGGAGCCAGCCGCCUAAGGUGGAAAGAAGUGGA